rnacentral:lncRNA from 1 species
CCAGUGACUGUGAUUGUGUGCGCGUGCGUGUAUUUAUUCUUACACCAAACCUGCAUUAAUUCACUGACUCUUUUUAUUUCAGCAGGCGAUAUGCUGCAGUAACCCAGGUCAGUCACGAGAUGGUAGUCUAGGCAAAGUUAAGGAAGUCCGGAAAGCGUGCUCUAAUGUUCGUAUCUGGAAGUGGCGUUCUGGGUUGUUUAUAUAUUGGACACAACAGAACUCCCUUUUUUCUGAGAGUCUUUUGAGUUGUUAGUUUGAGAGCAGGGAAAAUGCUGACAGAAGAAAUCAGGUCUUCCUCCCUGCAUGUGUUCACUCUGCCUGCAAACGACGUGUCCUGUAAUGUAUUACGGAGCCACUUAUCACUUGAGGCAAGAUGGUGGAGAAGAGCCUGUCCUCAUGUCCCAGCAGUCCACGGGCUGAAGAGCAGAGCUGCUGCAGGAGUAAAUGCAUUGCUAUUUAUCAAAACAGCAGCAUUCGAUGAAUUGCUUUUUAUUGACAGGUACACAGAAUGCACCACGGGCUAUGGGUUAGGCUCAAUAAAAGUGACUGAUGACCCCUCAGAGACACUAGUUCUUUCUAAUUUCCUGUAAUAGACCUUCACCGUGCUUCAGAUUCAACCAAAGUUUUUAAGAAGGACUUUUAGAAGUCCACUAGGUGCAGCCAUUCUGUGUUAUCGAGUCCAGUGUCCAGAUUUGGAAUGAUUCAGAGUCUGAAGGUUGCCCGCUUUAGCGUAGAGACCACAAUCUGACAAAGACAAGACAUAAAUCAACCUGACAUCACAACCUGCUACCAAUAAGACUCCAUUCAGAAAAGCCCUUUAUCUCUGGGAAUGUAUUUUUGGCUGAUUUUUCCUGUGCAUAUGUAGUUCAUAGGGGUGGCUUUUGGGGUCAGGAAAGACAAAAAAAUACCAAAAACGUUUAACCUCUUAAACAACAAGGUGGCAAGGUCCCAUAUUUCAAUUUCUCACUCUUAAUUACCACAGAAAACACUGUUAUAACAUCUUAUUAACAAUUUACAAGCUUGUUUAUACAGAAAAACACACUAUAUAAUAAAAUAAAAAAAGAUUACA